rnacentral:rRNA from 1 species
CACUAUGCCUAGCCCUAAACAAAGGUGAAAUUCUUACACCUAUCGCCUGCCCGGGAACUACGAGCCCCAGCUUAAAACCCAAAGGACUUGGCGGUGCUUCACACCCCCCUAGAGGAGCCUGUUCUAGAACCGAUAAUCCCCGUUAAACCUCACCCUCUCUUGUUUUCCCCGCCUAUAUACCGCCGUCGUCAGCUCACCCUAUGAAGGAUAAAUAGUGAGCAUAAUUGGUAAUACCUAAAACGCCAGGUCGAGGUGUAGCGUACGAGAGGGGAAGAAAUGGGCUACAUUCACUGAAUCAGUGAACCACGGAAGAUAGCUUGAAACAACCAUCUAAAGGAGGAUUUAGCAGUAAGGAGGGAAAUAGAGCGUCCCCCUGAAAUCGGCCCUGAAGCGCGCACACACCGCCCGUCACUCUCCCCAAAACAAACACAAAACCAUAAAUAAUAAGACCCCUAGAUAAAGGGGAGGCAAGUCGUAA